rnacentral:pre_miRNA from 1 species
AUUACUGGGGCCCCUACUCCCAGAGUUUCUGAUUCAGUGCGUCUGGGGUGGGGCCAAGAAUUUGCAUUUCUAACAAGUUCCCAGAUGAUGC